GCCAGGCCCUACGGGGUGCAGCAGGCGCGAAAACUUUACAAUGCUGGCAACAGCGAUAAGGGGACCUUGAGUGCCAGGAUACAAUCUUGGCUGUCGUCGUGUCUAAAAAACACGAUAUAGCAAGGGCCGGGCGAGACCGGUGCCAGCCGCCGCGGUAACACCGGCGGCUCGAGUGGUAACCGCUAUUAUUGGGUCUAAAGGGUCUGUAGCCGGCUCGGUAAGUCUCUUGGGAAAUCCGGCAGCUCAACUGUCGGGCUUUCAGGAGAUACUGCCAGGCUCGAGACCGGGAGAGGUGAGAGGUACCUCAUGGGUAGGGGUGAAAUCUUGUAAUCCUUGAGGGACCACCAGUGGCGAAGGCGUCUCACCAGAACGGAUCUGACGGCAAGGGACGAAAGCUAGGGGCACGAACCGGAUUAGAUACCCGGGUAGUCCUAGCCGUAAACGAUACUCGCUAGGUGUCGGCCACGGUGCGACCGUGGUCGGUGCCGUAGGGAAGCCGUGAAGCGAGCCACCUGGGAAGUACGGCCGCAAGGCUGAAACUUAAAGGAAUUGGCGGGGGAGCACUACAACGGGUGGAGCCUGCGGUUUAAUUGGAUUCAACGCCGGG
rnacentral:rRNA from 1 species